rnacentral:rRNA from 1 species
ACGCUCGACACCUACGGGUGGCAGCAGUGGGGAAUAUUGCACAAUGGGGGAAACCCUGAUGCAGCGACGCCGCGUGAGCGAAGAAGUAUUUCGGUAUGUAAAGCUCUAUCAGCAGGGAAGAAACUGACGGUACCUGACUAAGAAGCACCGGCUAAAUACGUGCCGGCAGCCGCGGUAAUCUGAGCGGGCUGGCAAGGC